rnacentral:tRNA from 1 species
GCCCAGGUGGCGGAAUUGGUAGACGCACUAGGUUCAGGUCCUAGCGGUGGCAACACCGUGGAAGUUCGAGUCUUCUC